rnacentral:tRNA from 1 species
AGUUACUUAGCUUAUAUAAAGCAUAUACUUUGAAAGUUUAAGAAAGAAUUAUUAUUUAGUGACUU